AACACUGUUAACCUGCGGUACCUGCGGAGGGAUCAUUACAGAGAAUCUCAUUCUCGACCAUGGCGAACCGUAACCCCCCAGAAACGACGUUCCUUCGGCGGGGCGACCCCCUGUGGUCGCGCCGCCGGGGGGCGGACCAGACCCUGUAUUAUCUUCUGCUGGCAUCUCUGAGUACGAUUUCUACGGAAUCAGUCAAAACUUUCAACAACGGAUCU
rnacentral:misc_RNA from 1 species